CUACAGGAGUUACGGGUACGGGGAAUCAGGGUUCGAUUCCGGAGAGGGAGCCUUAGAAACAGCUACCACAUCCAAGGAAGGCAGCAGGCGCGCAAAUUACCCAAUCCAGACACUGGGAGGUAGUGACGAGAAAUACUGGGGAUGCACCAAGUGUGUAUCAUCCGGAAUGAACGUAACACAAAAAAUUCGAUGAGGAUCUACUGGAGGGCAAGUCUGGUGCCAGCAGCCGCGGUAAUUCCAGCUCCAGUAGUGUAUAUCAACAUUGUUGCGCUUAAAACGCUCGUAGUUGGAUUACAGAGUGUCGAACACGCUGUCUAUUAUGGCGGUUGUGGUAUAUUGUGUCGAGCUGGUCUAAAGACGGUUCAAACGAUAUAUGACGCUCUUUUGUCGCAUUGGCUUUGGUUGGUAGCUUUACUGGUGCCGACCAAACGCCGAUGGAGUGUGCCUUGAAUAAAACAUGGUGCUCAAAGCAGGCGUAAGCUCGAGUGUAAUAGCAUGGAACGAAUAAAAGAUCUUGGCCGGUAUAUCCGGUUGAUGGUUCAUUCAGUAUUGGUGGUGGACCGGGUCUCAAUGGUUAAAAGGGACAUCUGAGGGCACUAGUACUCUGUGGCGAGAGGUGGAAUUCUUAGACCCACAGACGACUAACUACUGCGAAGGCAUUUGCCAAGAAUGUUUUCAUUAAUCAAGAACGAAGGUUAGAGGAUCGAAGACGAUCAGAUACCGUCCUAGUUUUAACAGAAAACUAUGCCAGCAUAGGCUGAGGGCGACCAUCCUUACCCAGGAACGAGUCACCUUGGUCCUUAGGGGAAACCUAGCUUUCGGGCUGCUGGGAGAAUAUUGCUGCAAGGCUGAAAUUUAAAGAAAUUGACGGAGAGGCACCACCAGGAGUGGAGCUUGCGGCUUAAUUUGACUCAACACGGGGAAACUCACCAGGUCCAGACAUUGGGAGGAUUGACAGACUGAUAGAUCUUUCAUGAUUCAGUGAUUGGUGGUGCAUGGCCGUUCUUAGUUGGUGGAGUGAUCUGUCAGGUCUAUUCCGGUAACGAGCGAGACCACGGCCUUUUGAGUUACAGCCCGGCYAWUUGGUUGGUGCUAACUAGAGGGACAGCCGGUGAAAAGCCGGAGGAAGCGUGGCAAUAACAGGUCUGUGAUGCCCUUUGAUGUCCUGGGCUGCACGCGUGCUACAAUGGCAACAGUAGAGAGAUGCUACCUCGAGAGAGGGUUGGCGAACCUGCUAAUGGUUGUCGUGAUUGGGAUUGAGCCUUGCAAUUAUUGCUCAUGAAAUAGGAAUUCCUCGUAAGCACGAGUCAUCAGCUUGUGUUGAAUACGUCUCUGCCUCUUGUACACACCGCCCGUCGCUACUACCGAUUGAAUUGCUUCUAAAGCUGGCCGGACCGGACUUGGGUUGACCGAGCUGGAAGGGCCGACGAUGGA
rnacentral:rRNA from 1 species